CCAUUCCCAUCUAUUCUUACAUAUAAACCAAUGUAAAGGUUUCCUAAACCUAUCUUCCCCUUUCUCCACCGAUACUCCUCCUAUCCCAGCUAAGAGAUAUUGGCUCUUUGUACUUGGAAUUUGGAGUUCUUCUUCUUGUUAUUUUGGGUGAUCAAUCAACCUCCAUGGACUGUAGCUGGUCAUAUGCUUAGCUGCUCUCAAAAAUUGGUGUGUUCUCCGGUGGAUGGGUUGAAACUUGUCAUUUUGUGCUAUGUUGAAGGAAUCAGGCUCCUAGAUAUUAUAUCAGAUCUGUUUAUUGAAGGGAGGUAGAUAAGGAGAAGCUCAGAGCCGUAUACAAAUAGAUUGGUGUAUUCUAUCCAGGUGUUUCAAAUGCCAACCUCUUACCUGACCUUCCCCUUUUGCUGAGAGUCAUUUUUAAAGGCUGCUAUAGAUUAGGCUAGGAAACUUGUUAUGCUUUUGUAGUUUCCUUCUGGUAAAUAUCUCUGACCUAUGUAGCCUAUUCAGCCCGAUUACACUCUUGUUGCUCUUAUCCUUAUGUAUGGACAUUGUAAUUUGUCAGUGUUUAAGAUCUUUCUGCCUCUUACCUCCAUUUGCUGAAAACUUGUAAUUGUAAAGCCUUCUUUAUCAAUGGAUAAAUUAGUUAGAUAAUUUGCCAA